UACGAAGGGUGCUAGCGUUGUUCGGAAUUACUGGGCGUAAAGCGCGCGCAGGCUGUGAUGCAAGUCAGGGGUGAAAUCCCCGGGCUUAACCUGGGAACUGCAUUGGUGACUGCAUUGCUGGAGUAUGGCAGAGGGGGGUGGAAUUCCACGUGUAGCAGUGAAAUGCGUAGAGAUGUGGGAGGAACACCGAUGGCGAAGGCAGCCCCCUGGGCCAAUACUGACGCUCAUGCACGAAAGCGUGGGGAGCAAACAGG
rnacentral:rRNA from 1 species